UUUCAUACUGGCUGCUGGGUUUCUUAGUGUAGUUUCUAGUAGAAUAUAUGCUAGUAAAGGCAUUUAUGUUCUUAAAUUUAUUUUUAUAAUCUUUUAUUAUAUAUUUUUUUUAUUACCCUUGUAGGCAGACGAGCAUACGGCCCAUCUAAUGGUGAGUGGUUACCGUCGCCCAUGGACUUCAGCAAUGCCAGGGGCAGAGCCAAGCUGCUGCCUAAAGCUUAAUACUCUCCACAAGCCUCUUUUAAAGAAGGACAUGUCAUAGCGCUCAGGAAACACCGUGGAGGGGGCUCAUUCCUUAGCCGGAGGUAAGCGCAGUCACAUAUUUCAUAUCAAAACGACCCAGGAAACGACCUACAAUGAAAUAAGUUAGAAGUGAGCGAUCCGUAUCGUUUGAACGUUGAUUACACAAGUGAACAUGAGGUACCGUAGCAAAGUUAAUGCAUAAUAUCUGGAACCACAGCGUAACUUCUAUAGUGCGCUUUAGAAUUACCUCCUUGCACGGUGUUUCUGGAGUGCUGUGACAUAUUCUUCUUUGAACAAGGCUUAAGGAGGGUCCUCAGCAGAGAUCAACAGCUUGGCUAUGCCUCUGAUAUUGCUAAGGUCCAUGAGCAACGAUGACUACGAAGGCAAUAAAAUAACAUUGUGGUUGAGAUUAAACAUUUUCAACAACAUUAACUUCAGUGUAUUCGGAUAUCAGUAGACAUUUUGUCCAGGCAAAUACUCUAGCUAGUGGCUCAUAAAAAUCAGGUUGAUUGUACAAGAAUAACGGUGUUGAAAAUUUUAAUGAGUUAGGCGUUGUAUCUGAAUUUUAAUGUACUAUUGUUUUAAAUUGGCGAAGUUUACGAAAUAAAUAUUUGUUUUAGCCUGUUACAACACUACUUGAGUGCCUAAAUGUUUUAUUAGAUGAAAUGUAUGUUUUGUUGUGAAUUAAUUGACGUUGUAACUUUAAUUUUUUUAUUUGAGUUUAUAUGCUGUUUUUUCUUAGUAGUUAUUACUAAAUACUAAAUAAAUUAAUACUAAAUGAAUUA